rnacentral:rRNA from 1 species
CCUUGUGAAAUCGGGCCGCCUAACGGUUCGGCGUGCAAGGGAUGCUGUUGGUCUUGAGGCCGGGAGAGGUCGGAGGUACUCCUGGGGUAGCGGUGAAAUGCUCUAAUCCUAGGGGGACCACCAGUGGCGAAGGCGUCCGACCAGAACGGACCUGACGGUGAGGGGCGAAGGCUAGGGGAGCGAACGGGAUUAGAUACCCCGGUAGUCCUAGCUGUAAAGCAUGCGGGCCAGGUGUCUAGCGCUCCUCGAGGGCGCUAGGUGCCGGAGGGGAGCCGUUAAGCCCGCCGCCUGGGAAGUACGGCCACAAGGCUGAAACUUAAAGAAAUUGGCGGGGGAGCACCACAAGAGGUAGGACCUGCGGUUCAAUUGGAUUCAACGCCGGAAAACCCACCAGGGGCGACAGCUGGUUGACGGCCAGAUUGACGAUCUUGCCCGACUAGCUGAGAGGUGGUGCAUGGCCAUCGUCAGCUCGUACCGUGAGGCGUCCUGUUAAGUCAGGCAACGAGCGAGAUCCUCGCCCUUAGUUGCCGUCGGUGGAAAGCCGGGCACUCUAGGGGGACCGCUGGCGCUAAGUCAGAGGAAGGAGAGGGCGACGGUAGGUCAGUAUGCCCCGAAUCCCCUGGGCUACACGCGGGUCACAAUGCGCAGGACAAUGAGAUGCAACCCCGUAAGGGGAAGCCAAACCCAUAAACCCGCGCUCGGUUCGGAUCGAGGGCUGUAACUCGCCCUCGUGGAGCUGGAAUCUCUAGUAAUCGCGUGC